rnacentral:rRNA from 1 species
GAUAAACGCUGGUGGCGUGCAUGAGACAUGCAAGUCGAACGAGUUCCUGGAGCUUGCUCCAGGCGCGAGUGGCGGACGGCUGAGUAACGCGUGGGUGACCUGCCCCGAAGUGGGGAAUAACUGCCCGAAAGGGUGGCUAAUACCGCAUGUGAUCGUUUGUUCAUUCGAACGAUCAAAGCAGUAAUGCGCUUUGGGAGGGGCCUGCGUCCGAUUAGCUCGUUGGUGGGGUAAUGGCUCACCAAGGCGACGAUCGGUAGGUGGUCUGAGAGGACGAUCACCCAGACUGGGACUGAGACACGGCCCAGACUCCUACGGGAGGCUG